UACAGAGGUUGCAAGCGUUAAUCGGAAUUACUGGGCGUAAAGGGCGCGUAGGCGGUUCAACUAUUUUUAUGUGAAAGCUUCGGGCUUAACCCGGAAAUGGCAUUGAAUACUGGAGUGCUGGAGGUUUGGAGGGGGGACUGGAAUUCUCGGUGUAGCAGUGAAAUGCGUAGAUAUCGAGAGGAACACCAGUGGCGAAGGCGAGUCCCUGGACAACACCUGACACUGAGGCACGAAAGCUAGGGGAGCAAACAGG
rnacentral:rRNA from 1 species